rnacentral:rRNA from 1 species
AACUUUCAGCAGUGGAUGUCUAGGCUCGCACAUCGAUGAAGAACGCUGCGAACUG